CUCUUAUUCCGAGUGAUGGAGAUAUAAAGGAUCGAUGAAAUCACGGCAACCCCUUUUAAGGAAGGUGCCAACCUGAAGCGAAGAAUCGAACAAUAAGAG
rnacentral:ncRNA from 2 species